rnacentral:rRNA from 1 species
UAAAGGAAUUGGCGGGGGAGCACCACAAGGGGUGAAGCCUGCGGUUCAAUUGGAGUCAACGCCAGAAAUCUUACCCGGAGAGACAGCAGAAUGAAGGUCAAGCUGAAGACUUUACCAGACAAGCUGAGAGGUGGUGCAUGGCCGUCGCCAGCUCGUGCCGUGAGAUGUCCUGUUAAGUCAGGUAACGAGCGAGAUCCUCGCCACUAGUUGCUAUCAUUAUUCUCAGGAAUAGUGGGGCGAAUUAGUGGGACUGCCGUUGUUAAAACGGAGGAAGGAGAGGGCUACGGCAGGUCAGUAUGCCCCGAAACUCUGGGGCCACACGCGGGCUGCAAUGGUAGUGACAAUGGGCUCCUAACUCGAAAGAGAGAGGCAAUCCACAAACACUACCACAGUUAUGACUGAGGGCUGUAACUCGCCCUCACGAAUAUGGAAUCCCUAGUAACUGCGUGUCAUUACCGCGCGGUGAAUACGUCCCUGCUCCUUGCACACACCGCCA